rnacentral:rRNA from 1 species
CGGCGUGCCUAACACAUGCAAGUCGAACGGGGUGAUUCCUUCGGGAAUCACUUAGUGGCGAACGGGUGAGUAACGCGUGAGUAACCUGCCCUUAGGUGGGGGAUAACACAUCGAAAGGUGUGCUAAUACCGCAUAACAUAUGUUUAUCGCAUGGUAGACAUAUCAAAGAUUUAUUGCCUAAGGAUGGACUCGCGUCUGAUUAGAUAGUUGGUGAGGUAACGGCUCACCAAGUCGACGAUCAGUAGCCGAACUGAGAGGUUGAUCGGCCACAUUGGGACUGAGACACGGCCCAGACUCCUACGGGAGGCAGCAGUGGGGAAUAUUGCGCAAUGGGGGAAACCCUGACGCAGCAACGCCGCGUGAAGGAUGAAGGUCUUCGGAUUGUAAACUUUUGUCUUAUGGGACGAAAAAGGACGGUACCAUAGGAGGAAGCCACGGCUAACUACGUG